rnacentral:rRNA from 1 species
GACGAACGCUGGCGGCGCGCUUAACACAUGCAAGUCGAACGGAAAGGCCUGCUUUCCCUUGUGGAUUGCGGGUACUCGAGUGGCGAACGGGUGAGUAACACGUGAGUGAUCUGCCCCCAACUUGGGUAUAAGCCUGGGAAACUGGGUCUAAUUCCCGAUAGGACUGCAGGGUGGUGCCUGUGGUGGCAAACGAUUUUCUAGUGGUUGGGGCUGAGCUCGCGGCCUAUCAGCUUGUUGGUGGGGUAAUGGCCUACCAAGGCGGCGGCGGGUAGCCGGCCUGGGAGGGUGGACGGGCACAUUGGGACUGAGAUACGGCCCAGACUCCUACGGGAGGCAGCAGUGGGGAAUAUUGCGCAAUGGGCGGAAGCCUGAUGCAGCGACGCCGCGUGGGGGAUGACGGCCUUCGGGCUGUAAACUCCUUUCGACCGCGAGGAAGCCACCUGGUUGGAAGGGUGGUGACGGUAGUGGUAGAAGAAGCACCGGCUAACUACGUG